GAUGAACGCUGGCGGCGUGCCUAAUACAUGCAAGUCGAGCGAAUGGAUUGAGAGCUUGCUCUUAUGAAGUUAGCGGCGGACGGGUGAGUAACACGUGGGUAACCUGCCCAUAAGACUGGGAUAACUCCGGGAAACCGGGGCUAAUACCGGAUAACAUUUUGAACCGCAUGGUUCGAAAUUGAAAGGCGGCUUCGGCUGUCACUUAUGGAUGGACCCGCGUCGCAUUAGCUUGUUGGUGAGGUAACGGCUCACCAAGGCAACGAUGCGUAGCCGACCUGGGAGGGUGAGCGGCCACACUGGGACUGAGACACGGCCCAGACUCCUACGGGAGGCAGCAGUAGGGAAUCUUCCGCAAUGGACGAAAGUCUGACGGAGCAACGCCGCGUGAGUGAUGAAGGCUUUCGGGUCGUAAAACUCUGUUGUUAGGGAAGAGCAAGUGCUAGUUGAAUAAGCUGGCACCUUGACGGUACCUAACCAGAAAGCCACGGCUAACUACGUGCCAGCAGCCGCCGUAA
rnacentral:rRNA from 1 species